ACACAAUAGAAAAUUAAAACAGCCCUUCUAUUUUAUCGGUGGCUAGUCAAAAACAAUUCUCCGCCGCCGCCGCCGCCGCCGCCGCUAGAAUCUAAUGCCGGCAACUCCAAAGUCUAUUCUCUUCCUUUCCCUCUUGCUACUCUCAUCUAAUCUCUCCCACUCCUUCUUCUCCAACUAUUACAACCUAUUCUCCCUCUCCCACUCCCUCCUCUCCCGCGUCGCCGCCCAACGAACCGCCCGCGGCGAUGUCGAGGGGGCGGCCCGGGCCCGGGCUCUGGCCCGCACCUUCGAGCCCGGUGGCCUGGGAUUGUACAAGUCUGCAUGGAGCUUUGGAUGGGAUUUUCUGAAGAAUUACGCGUGGAGCGACGCGGCGUCGUUUCGUGACAUUGGCGGCGUAGUGUCCGAUUUGAAUGAAUUGUUAGGGAUUUUGAGCGAAUUGAGUCGGAUUCCCUCCGAUGCGGAGAGGCUCGCCUGGGCUGGUCGAAAUUACAAAAACGCCCUUAGGGUUUCGAAGUCGAUCUUCAAUCGACUGCUCAACGUCUUCCGUCGAUCUGGGCCGUUACGGGAUAUAGUGCUGAGCCUUCAGAAAGAAGUGGUGGAGGGUGAUCUGCUUAGGGACUGCAUUGAGUUAGGCGCGGGCGACCUUAAGGGUUUGGUACAGAUUGUGAAGGGCAUUGCACUCCAAUAUUUCCCUGCUGCUCCUAGGAAUGAACUGUAAAAGAUGCUGUGGGUGAUGCUUAGCGAAAGUUUUGCGGAACAUUGGAUUUUGCAGUCUUCGGUGGAGAAGAAAGUUUGGUUUCUGGUGGUUUUAGGCUUUUGAAGAAUGAUUUGACUAGUGAAGGAUGUUUUGUAGAAUGCAGUGUUUCCCCUUCAUCACUGUAUAACCUUCUGGUUUUUGCCUGUCUGGAACACAGGGAGACUGGAUGACAAGUUUUGCAGAAUCGAAGUUGAUUGUGUUUGUCCUUCAACAGCUGCACUCUGCUCAUUCACUGGAUUUUUGGAGUACAUGGUGUUGAUUACUAAUGGCAUUUCAUAUCAAAUCAACUGUGUUGAUUUUUCGCAGUCCAGAUGAAGAAGAAGAUGGCUGAAUGAGUGAACACAGCGUAUACUCUUUGAAUCCCGACAAUGCUUACCAGCUGCCCAUAUUUGCUAAGAGCUGGGUGCCUGUUUGUUUCUAUACAGAUUGCUCUGUGCAAAAUACAUCAAGUUGUUCUGAAUAGAUUUCUCUAUGUAAAUCGCUUUUUGAAAGCUUGUCGGAUAUUCUGAAUGUUAGUGUAAUGAUCAUUUCACUGUCAUUGAAUA